rnacentral:tmRNA from 1 species
AAGGGGUUCGACUUAUGUGGAUAUUAUAAGGGCAGCAUGUCGAGGUGGUCGGGAGGCCUCGUUAAACACCUGGCAAAAUAAUAAAUGCUGAAACUAAAGUUCCAGUAAGCGUAGAUGCACUUCUUGAGAAAAUUGGAUCGGGCAUUGCUCAUCCUUCUUUCGCGGGAUUUGUACCUGCACCAGCGUUAAUUUAAUAAAAUAAAUUAACCCGUUUUUUGGCCUUUUGUCUGGGGGGUUAAGAAACGUCACUUACAGACUCGCUUUACCUGGUUUGUUUUUGACGGGUAAGGUCAAACAUUCAAAAGCUGCCUGUUUAAAUACCGUGUCUAUUGGGGAUUUAAACAGAAAGAUAAAUAAUAGGCUAAACAUGUAGAUACCCUUAUUUGUUGCUUAAGGACGCGGGUUCGAUCA